rnacentral:rRNA from 1 species
AUUGAACGCUGGCGGCAGGCCUAACACAUGCAAGUCGAACGAGUGGCGGACGGGUGAGUAAUGUCUGGGAAACUGCCUGAUGGAGGGGGAUAACUAAUGGACACGGUAGCUAAUACCGCAUACCAUCGGAUGUGCCCAGAUGGGAUUAGCUAGUAGGUGGGGUAAAGGCUACCCUAGGCGACGGUCCCUAGCUGGUCUGUGAGGAUGACCAGCCACACUGGAACUGAGACACGGUCCCGACUCCUACGGGAGGCAGCAGUGGGGAAUAUUGCACAAUGGGCUCAAGCCUGAUGCAGCCAUGCCGCGUGUAUGAAGAAGGCCUUCGGGUUUUAAAGUACUUUCAGCGGGGAGGCGUUACCCGCAGAAGAAGCACCGGCUAACUCCGUGCCAGCAGCCGCGGUAAUUC